UAGCAUAAUCAUUAGUUUUUUAAUUGAAAACUUGUAUGAAUGGUUGGACAAAGAAGAGACUGUCUCUUGUGUUAUAAUUGAAUUUAACUUUUAAGUGAAAAGGCUUAAAUAUUCUAGAGGGACGAUAAGACCCUAUAAAGCUUUAUAAAUUUGAAGAUUUUGUGUAUUUUUAUAUAAAAAUGAAUUUUGAAGAUUUUAUUUGGUUGGGGCGACAAUGGUAUAAUGAGAAUAACUGCUAUUAAAAUUAACAAUUAUAUUUGAAUUAUUAAUAAUUGAUCCUUUAUAAGGAUUUUAAGAUCAAGUUACUUUAGGGAUAACAGCGUUAUUUUUCUUGAGAGUUCUUAUCAAAGGAAAAGUUUGCGACCUC
rnacentral:rRNA from 1 species